rnacentral:rRNA from 1 species
UCCGAUUGAUUCUGUCGGCGGUUAUAUGCUUGUCUCAAAGGUUAAGCCAUGCAUGUCUAUGUUUAAAUAUCCUAUAAAGGUGAAACCGCGAACGGCUCAUUAUAACAGCUAUAAUUUACUUGGUCUUGAUAUACUACAUGGAUAACUGUGGUAAUUCUAGAGCUAAUACAUGCACCAACGCUCCGAUUUACUGACGAGCGCAUCUAUUAGAACAAAACCAAUCGAGCUGCGGCUCGUAAGUUGGUGACUCUGAAUAACUUAUGCUGAUCGCAUGGUCUUGAACCGGCGACAUAUCUAUCAAGUGUCUGCCUUAUCAACUGUCGAUGGUAGUUUAUAUGACUACCAUGGUUGUAACGGGUAACGGAGAAUAAGGGUUCGACUCCGGAGAGGGAGCCUGAGAAACGGCUACCACAUCCAAGGAAGGCAGCAGGCGCGCAAAUUACCCACUCUCAGAACGAGGAGGUAGUGACGAAAAAUAACGGGGCCGUUCUCUUUGAGGCCGGUUACCGGAAUGGGUACAAUCUAAACCCUUUAACGAGGAUCUAUGAGAGGGCAAGUCUGGUGCCAGCAGCCGCGGUAAUUCCAGCUCUCAAAGUGUAUAUCGUUAUUGCUGCGGUUAAAAAGCUCGUAGUUGGAUCUGAGCCGAGGACUUGGUCCGGCCACUGGUCGUGAACUGGGCUCCUCGGCUAGUACGGCUGGUUUUCCAUCCGUUGCCUUUAUCGGCUGCGUAUGGUGGCUGGCGAUUUUACUUUGAAAAAAUUAGAGUGCUUCAAACAGGCUAGUGCCUGCAUACUCUUGCAUGGAAUAAUAGAAUAGGAUCUUGGUUCUAUUUUGUUGGUUUUCUGAACUGAGAUAAUGGUUAAGAGGGACGGACGGGGGCAUUCGUAUCGCUGCGUGAGAGGUGAAAUUCUUGGACCGUAGCGAGACGCCCGACUGCGAAAGCAUUUGCCAAGAAUGUCUUCAUUAAUCAAGAACGAAAGUCAGAGGUUCGAAGGCGAUCAGAUACCGCCCUAGUUCUGACCGUAAACGAUGCCAACUAGCAAUCCGUCGGCGGUAAUUACGCCUUGACGGGCAGCUUCCCGGAAACGAAAGUUUUCCGGUUCCGGGGGAAGUAUGGUUGCAAAGCUGAAACUUAAAGAAAUUGACGGAAGGGCACCACCAGGAGUGGAGCCUGCGGCUUAAUUUGACUCAACACGGGAAAACUCACCUGGCCCGGACACCGUGAGGAUUGACAGAUUGAGAGCUCUUUCUUGAUUCGGUGGUUGGUGGUGCAUGGCCGUUCUUAGUUGGUGGAGUGAUUUGUCUGGUUUAUUCCGAUAACGAGCGAGACUCUAGCCUACUAAAUAGUUAUCGGAUAAUCGAGUUCGAAAGACUUCUUAGAGGGACAAACGGUGUUCAGCCGCGCGAAAUUGAGCAAUAACAGGUCUGUGAUGCCCUUAGAUGUCCAGGGCUGCACGCGCGCUACACUGGAGGAAUCAGCGUGCAGUAACCAUUGCUGAAAGGUAUUGGUAACCACUUGAAAAUCCUCCGUGAUCGGGAUCGGGAAUUGCAAUUAUUUCCCUUGAACGAGGAAUUCCCAGUAAGUGUGAGUCAUCAGCUCGCGUUGAUUACGUCCCUGCCCUUUGUACACACCGCCCGUCGCUGCCCGGGACUGAGCCGUUUCGAGAAAAGCGGGGACCGCUGUUUUGAAGCCCUUAGGGGUGGAGAUUCUUUGGCAAGAACCGCUUUAAUCGCAGUGGCUUGAACCGGGCAAAAGUCGUAACAAGGUUUCCGUAGGUGAACCUGCGGAAG